rnacentral:rRNA from 1 species
AACGAACGCUGGCGGCAUGCCUAACACAUGCAAGUCGAACGAGACCUUCGGGUCUAGUGGCGCACGGGUGCGUAACGCGUGGGAACCUGCCCUUAGGUUCGGAAUAACUCCCCGAAAGGGGUGCUAAUACCGGAUAAUGUCUUCGGACCAAAGAUUUAUCGCCUUUGGAUGGGCCCGCGUUGGAUUAGCUAGUUGGUAGGGUAAAAGCCUACCAAGGCUACGAUCCAUAGCUGGUCUGAGAGGAUGAUCAGUCACACUGGGACUGAGACACGGCCCAGACUCCUACGGGAGGCAGCAGUGGGGAAUAUUGGACAAUGGGCGAAAGCCUGAUCCAGCAAUGCCGCGUGAGUGAUGAAGGCCUUAGGGUUGUAAAGCUCUUUUACCCGGGAUGAUAAUGACAGUACCGGGAGAAUAAGCUCCGGCUAACUCCGUG